GACGUAGGGCGCGAGCGUUGUCCGGAUUUAUUGGGCGUAAAGAGCUCGUAGGCGGCUUGUCGCGUCGAAUGUGAAAACCCGAGGCUCAACUUCGGGCUUGCAUUCGAUACGGGCAGGCUAGAGUUCGGUAGGGGAGACUGGAAUUCCUGGUGUAGCGGUGAAAUGCGCAGAUAUCAGGAGGAACACCGGUGGCGAAGGCGGGUCUCUGGGCCGAUACUGACGCUGAGGAGCGAAAGCGUGGGGAGCGAACAGG
rnacentral:rRNA from 1 species